AACGGAGGCUUGCAAAGGUGCCCUCAGCAUGGACGGUAAUCAUGCGAAGAGCGUAUUAGUAUAAGGGCGCUUGACUGAGAGAGCGACGGCUCGACCAGGUACGAAAGUAGGCUAAAGUGAUCCGGUGGUUCCGCAUGGAAGGGCCAUCGCUCAAAGGAUAAAAGGUACGCCGGGGAUAACAGGCUGAUCUCCCCCAAGAGCUCAUAUCGACGGGGAGGUUUGGCACCUCGAUGUCGGUUCGUCACAUCCUGGGGCUGAAGAAGGUCCCAAGGGUUCGGCUGUUCGCCGAUUAAAGUGGCACGUGAACUGGGUUCAGAACGUCGCAAGACAGUUCGGUCUCUAUCUGUGGUGGGCGUUGUAAUAUUGAAGGGAACUGACUCUAGUACGAGAGGACCGAGUUGGACGUACCUCUAGUGUAUCUGUUGUGCCGCCAGGUGCAAUGCAGAGUAGCUAUGUACGGACUAGAUAAGCGCUGAAAGCAUCUAAGCGCGAAGCUAUCCUUAAGAUGAGUAUUACUGGGGUCGUAGAAGACGACUACGUUGAUAGGCUAUAGGUGUAAGCGUAGUAAUACGUUCAGCUGAGUAGUACUAAUUACCCCUUAGCUUCCUUUU
rnacentral:rRNA from 1 species